GACGAACGCUGGCGGCGUGCUUAACACAUGCAAGUCGAGCGGAAAGGCCACUUCGGUGGUACUCGAGCGGCGAACGGGUGAGUAACACGUGAGUAAUCUGCCCCUGGCUUUGGGAUAGCCACCGGAAACGGUGAUUAAUACCGGAUAUGACCACUUCACGCAUGUGAUGGUGGUGGAAAGUUUUUUGGCCAGGGAUGUGCUCGCGGCCUAUCAGCUUGAUGGUGAGGCAAUGGCUCACCAUGGCUU
rnacentral:rRNA from 1 species